CCUGAGAAACCCAAAAGAUCGAAUGGGGAGAUUCAUCGUCAGCGAACCUGGUACGUGUGCGGUUCGUGAUGCCGGGGACUUCGGUCCCGCGGCACUCGUCCGCAUGGUUUUUUAUUACCGGGUCUCGUCGGCGUGCACUUCUCCCCUAGUAGGACGUCGCGACCCGUUGGGUGUCGGUCUACGGCCCGGGCGGGAGCCUGUCAUGUGUCACGCUUCGCGGCGUCAUGUGGCAGACCCCCGGUUGUCCGACCGACUGCCCGGCGGUAUUCGCACGGUAUCGGGCCGCAAUUAUUGCAACUGCGUCCGGCCCGUCGCAAGCGGGGCCAGUGAUACCCGGAUGUACGGACCAAGUGCCGUCACCGGGCCUGGCCAGCUGUUGGUUGACGGUGUCCUGGGACUGGCUCUAUUUUAUUUAUGAUACCGGUCGGCGACGCUACUGCUUUGGGUACUUUCAGGA
rnacentral:rRNA from 1 species